ACGGGAGGCAGCAGUGAGGAAUAUUGGUCAAUGGGCGGAAGCCUGAACCAGCCAUGCCGCGUGAGGGACGAAUGCCCUAUGGGUUGUAAACCUCUUUUGCCGCAGAGUAAUAAGGGUCCUGCGGGGCCCGAUGAGAGUAUGCGGCGAAUAAGCAUCGGCUAACUCCGUGCCAGCAGCCGCGGUAAUACGGAGGAUGCAAGCGUUAUCCGGAUUUAUUGGGUUUAAAGGGAGCGUAGGCGGCCUUUUAAGUCAGCGGUCAAAUGUCAGCGCCCAACGCUGGCCUGCCGUUGAUACUGAUGGGCUUGAAUACACACAAGGAAGGUGGAAUUCGUCGUGUAGCGGUGAAAUGCUUAGAUAUGACGAAGAACUCCGAUUGCGAAGGCAGCCUUCUGGAGUGCGAUUGACGCUGAGGCUCGAAAGCGCGGGUAUCAAACAGGAUUAGAUACCCUGGUA
rnacentral:rRNA from 1 species